GGGUUGCAGCAGUUACCGCCUUCACUCGAACAGACGGAUACUAGGCUGCCCCUUCGUGCAUUAUCGACUCUGCUACUACAUUCUAUCGCGAGCAAGAAAACCUCCUUUCUUGAUGCCCAAACAGAGAAGAGACUGAGAGGUUGAGAGAAUAUAUAUUUUACAUAAUGACAAUGUUUGCAGAUGAGAAUGGGCUGCCAGGAGACCCUACAGUAAAGGCCAUAUCUAUUGCUAUCAGAUUCAUCCCUCACUUCCCGAAAUCAGAUUUGAUAGCUUUAAGGCGCAAGGAAAAUGAUCUAAAAAUAUUUGGAGGGUGCUAAUACUACUGAGAUAAAAGCAGCAGCUAUACCAUGAAGUACCGGAGAAAAGUUGUAUAUCGGAUUCAUAUGCUCUUGAGUGGGGAACUGACCAUCUGGAGAUGCAUGUCAAUGCCAUGCAACCUAGAAAGCGUAUGAUCUUUUGCCACUAGAAGGAUCGUCUUGCCGGGAGGCUUCUAGGUCCUCGACUCUUUUUCCACCUCCUGCUAUUUUAAAUGCGAUGGAUGCAGGAGAGCUACUCUUUGCCAAUCUCCACUGCGUGUUUGUGGCUCCAGGUGCUGCUUCCACCUUCUUUCUCACAGUCGUCCCCUUUAGGGCACAAAAUUUUCAAUUCCACACAAAGUUUGUUAUUAUUAUAUCUCUUUUAUAUGUGAGUAGGACAUAUCAUUCAUAUGUAGGUUAUAUCUUCUCACGGUCUCACUUUCUAGGUAUAUUGUGCAAAGUAUAGAUUUAGGCAAGACGCUGAGGCACUUAUAUGGAUUAUUAUAUACCAGUUAGAGAUUCUUUUACAUGUCUAAUAAUUACUCGAGGAUGAAAAUUUAGAGUGCAUUGUCCUACCCAACAUGUUGAAUUUUCUUUAAUUAGAUCAAAUCUGCAUCUUGCCUUGAUUGGUUAAUAUCGGCUUGAUAAUUUAAGUUAAAUUGAACUCCGUUUCCAAACGGAGCAUAUAUAUCUUUUACGAUCUAAAGCAUGAAAAGCUUAUAAAAUAAAUGUAAAAAACAUUGAAGAAGACUCUGUUUUCAUUGAUAGACAUAUUUCAGGAGAUACAAUAUCAAAUGAGACAUUUUCUUUUUCUCUCUUCUUUUCUUUAUUUGAUCUAUAAUUUUUUAUUAUAUUAAUCAAGAUGCAUGUGUUUUUUGGUCGAUUAUGAGGAAGCUCAUGUAUCCGGUGGUUGAAGAUGUGUAUUUAUUCUUCUAUAGAUUAUAGAUUAUAGAUAACAUAUCUUGAUUUAAAAGACGUUAUUUAGGAAUUUGUCUACAGGUACAUGAUGUGUCCGCAUGCCUUCCCCAUUUUAAGCCAUAUAAAACAUUAGAAAGAAAAUACUGUAAAAGACAAAGAAGUUCAAGAACUCAGGAUGGAAAAAGCCUUUUAUACUGUAAUGUGCACUUUUUAAUGCAUGACAAAUUGAUGUUUUGACUUUGAUCAGUGCCUCCAAGAGGUAAAUCAUCUUUGUUAGAUUGGUCCUUGUAGGAUUAUUUGGCAAGGCAACGCAAUUUGCCAUUGUCAUAGUAGAGUUCAAAUACAAAGGUGCUCGCCCGAAUUGACCUCGGAAGCUGAAGGAAUCAAAUUCUAAAGGCAAUAGAAUAUCUUCUGCAACGCUAUGCUGCUUCUAUAUAUAUUUAUUGUUCUUAUUUAUUUGUGUGUAUAUAUAUGUAUAAUUUUUUGCCAUUUAAGGUGAACAUCCAUAUUGACUGAACCUUUUUUCUUUCGUUACAUUCUUGUGAAUCGUGUAUUUUACUUUCCUCUAAAUGGUGUUCAUGGCUUCUUGCAAUGCAGUAAGUCCCAAGAAUGUGCCUUAUCAAAGCGAAAAAAAGAACAAGUAACUUCACAGAGAGAUUGUGGACCUGCUUCCUUGCAUACCGGCAGAAAUUUAAAGACAAUGUAGAAUCUCGACAAAGUAAUUGAUUACAAAAUUUUGCAGAAUUGUGAUUUGAGGUGUCAAUACUUUAGAUGUGUUUGUUUGAGUGUUGAUCAUCCUUUCACCCUCAUAAAUGAUAUCUGAAAUCUUCUCAAAGUUUCCAUUGUGGUGGCAAAUGGAUCUUUAUUUUAUAUCUAAUGGCAUCUCCAGUCAGCUUUUAAUUUUCUACCAAUUAUUUGGUGGUUCUUUUAGCUUAUCUUUUUGGAUCUUAUGUAAGUAAAAGAGCCUUCUCCUAAGCUUUCCGUUUACGUUUGAUAAUUCUCUUGAUAAAUGAUGUGUUUUUAUUUUCUCUUUAUUUAUUAUGCUAUGCGGGUUACAAGUUCUACGUACUUUCUGGACUUGAUAUAAUAGGUCAACAGGUUGGUGCAUGUGUACUCCGUCUUCAUUUCUCUAAACUAAUACAAGAAAAAGUAUUCCUCUUUAAAAAUCUGUGCAUUGUAACAUCUGAAGUUAUGGAACUCCAAAAGCUCUUUUGAGAUUGAUAGCUUUACUGUCUCAUGUUUCUGAUAUUCUUUACUAAAGAGGAUGAAUUAAAAUCGAUUUCCUCUAACUUAACUCUCCUCUUUCUUCAUCAUUCCAGUUUUUCUUUCUUUUGUCAACGAAAUUUUUUCUAUAAUAUCAUUUUAUGAGAAUUAUUAUUAUUUUUAUAAGAUGGUGACUAACAAGUAUCUCCGCGUCUCAUGUACUAUUCGGAUUCGAGGAGCUGACGGAGAUCAUCGAGGAUGGGUUCGAGGAGCAAGCGGCAAUGGCAAAUUUGACACCGGAAGAGCAGAAGACAUUAAAGGAUAACCGUAAGAAAAUAUCAUAAGGCUCUCUUUUACAUCUUUCAAGCGGUGGACUCUUCUAUUUUCGAGAAGAUGGCAAAUGCGAAGACAGCAAAGGAGGCGUGGGAUUCUCUUGUCACGGCAUGCAAAGGUGUAUAAACUCUCCAUCGACAGUUCGAGCUUUUUCAAAUGGAGAAGUCCGAGUCGAUUUCUAACUAUUUCUCACGGAUGUUGCCCCUCGUCAAUCAAAUGAAGGCCGAUGGUGAGACUAUCACAGACCAAAAGAUUGUCGAGAAGAUUAUCCGAACAUCAACGUUGCAGUUCGAGUACAUCGUGACGUCUAUUGAGGAGUCUCGAGAUCUUUCCACCACGACGGUUGAUAAGUUGAUGGGCUCGUUGCAAGUCCACGAGCAGCGGCUCAAGGAGAAGAGCAAGAUGGUGGAGGAGACUUUACGGUGCUAGUUGGAGUUGCGGGAUGAGAAGAAGGUUUCUUGUAGUCUGAAGAAAGAGAAAGGGGGGUAAGAAAAGAGUUCUAGACAACGAAAGGACAAGUCGCAUGUUCAGUGUUACAAGUAUAAACAGUUCGGACUCUUCAAAGGGGAGUGUCACAACAAGAAGGCGGAAGGUUUGAAUGUACAAGCCAAGGUUGCGAGCUCCUGUGAUAGGGAUGACAAGGUUGACAAAGCCUUGUUGUUCACGUGUGAUGUAGCUGUGGAGAACCAAAAAAUUAUUUGGUACUUGGAUACGGGCUACAGUAAUCACAUGUGUGGUGUGAAGGAGCUAUUAUCGAACUUGAUAGUAGCUUCUGUUUGGAAGUCAAAUUCGGGAACAAUUCGAAGGUUCCUAUCAUGGGGAAGGUAACGAUCAACAUCAAAGCGAAGGAUGGGUGGGAUCAAUGCAUCUCUGUCGUGUAUUAUGUUCCUAGUCUUCAAUAGAAUCUCUUGAGCAUGGGACAAUUAUCCAAGCGUGGCUAUCACAUGGAGAUCAAGGAUGGGCUCUGUACGAUUCGGGACAGCAAGUGAGGCUUGAUUGCAAAGGUGAAAAUGACUGGCAAUCAUCUUUUUCCUUUGCAUAUUAAGUAUCUGCCUCGUGUUUCAAUGCUUCGGUGCAAGACUCCUCGUGGCUAUGACAGAAAAGCUCGGCCAUGUGAAUUUCGUUAGCUUGAAUUUGUUAUCACGCAAUAAGAUGGUGCUUCGACUACCCGAAAUUUUUCCCCCAAAGGAGAUAUGUGAGCCUAGUGUUGUUGGGAAGAAGAGUAGGAAUCUUUCCCUUUGGAGUCCGUCAUGGUGAGCCAAGAAGCAGCUGGAGUUAGCACACUCAGAUGUUCGUUUAUAUAAUUAAGGCGUUUUUCAAUGUCAUCCCUCUAAAGUGUCUAUAUCUUACAAUACAAAGGUAUAUAAAAUUGCUUUGGGCUUCGGUCCCAAAUUCACCAAAAUAGAGAAAUAUAUAAA